rfam:Triticum aestivum genome assembly, contig: Triticum_aestivum_CS42_TGACv1_scaffold_158518_2DL
AUGGAUGUGAGGACCCUUUCCCCAAAUGAUCGACUAUGAUUAUACUAUGCGCAUCUGUAAUCCUUUAUCAGAGGAUUCCAAGCCAGAAGUCUGAUCCAU